rnacentral:rRNA from 1 species
UGGGGAAUAUUGCACAAUGGGCGCAAGCCUGAUGCAGCCAUGCCGCGUGUGUGAAGAAGGCCUUCGGGUUGUAAAGCACUUUCAGCGAGGAGGAAGGGUAGUGUGUUAAUAGCACAUUGCAUUGACGUUACUCGCAGAAGAAGCACCGGCUAACUCCGUGCCAGCAGCCGCGGUAAUACGGAAGGUGCAAGCGUUAAUCGGAAUUACUGGGCGUAAAGCGCACGCAGGCGGUUUGUUAAGUCAGAUGUGAAAUCCCCGCGCUUAACGUGGGAACUGCAUUUGAAACUGGCAAGCUAGAGUCUUGUAGAGGGGGGUAGAAUUCCAGGUGUAGCGGUGAAAUGCGUAGAGAUCUGGAGGAAUACCGGUGGCGAAGGCGGCCCCCUGGACAAAGACUGACGCUCAGGUGCGAAAGCGUGGGGAGCAAACA